AAGGCCCUGCUUUUGUGGGGUGCUCGAGUGGCGAACGGGUGAGUAACACGUGAGUAACCUGCCCUUGACUUUGGGAUAACUUCAGGAAACUGGGGCUAAUACCGGAUAGGAGCUCCUGCUGCAUGGUGGGGGUUGGAAAGUUUCGGCGGUUGGGGAUGGACUCGCGGCUUAUCAGCCUGUUGGUGGGGUAGUGGCUUACCAAGGCUUUGACGGGUAGCCGGCCUGAGAGGGUGACCGGCCACAUUGGGACUGAGAUACGGCCCAGACUCCUACGGGAGGCAGCAGUGGGGAAUAUUGCACAAUGGGCGGAAGCCUGAUGCAGCAACGCCGCGUGCGGGAUGACGGCCUUCGGGUUGUAAACCGCUUUCGCCUGUGACGAAGCGUGAGUGACGGUAAUGGGUAAAGAAGCACCGGCUAACUACGUGCCAGCAGCCGCGGUGAUACGUAGGGUGCAAGCGUUGUCCGGAUUUAUUGGGCGUAAAGGGCUCGUAGGUGGUUGAUCGCGUCGGAAGUGUAAUCUUGGGGCUUAACCCUGAGCGUGCUUUCGAUACGGGUUGACUUGAGGAAGGUAGGGGGAGAAUGGAAUUCCUGGUGGAGCGGUGGAAUGCGCAGAUAUCACGAGGAACACCAGUGGCGAAAGCGGUUCUCUGGGCCUUUCCUGACGCUGAGAGCGAAAGCGUGGGGAGCGAACAGCUUAGAUACCCUGUAGUCACGCUGUAAACGUGGGUACUAGGUGUGGGGUCAUUCACGGGUUC
rnacentral:rRNA from 1 species